rnacentral:rRNA from 1 species
GAUGAACGCUGGCGGCGUGCCUAAUACAUGCGAGUCGAGCGAACAGACGAGGAGCUUGCUCCUCUGACGUUAGCGGCGGACGGGUGAGUAACACGUGGAUAACCUACCUAUAAGACUGGGAUAACUUCGGGAGACCGGAGCUAAUACCGGAUAAUAUAUUGAACCGCAUGGUUCAAUAGUGAAAGACGGUUUUGCUGUCACUUAUAGAUGGAUCCGCGCCGCAUUAGCUAGUUGGUAAGGUAACGGCUUACCAAGGCAACGAUGCGUAGCCGACCUGAGAGGGUGAUCGGCCACACUGGAACUGAGACACGGUCCAGACUCCUACGGGAGGCAGCAGUAGGGAAUCUUCCGCAAUGGGCGAAAGCCUGACGGAGCAACGCCGCGUGAGUGAUGAAGGUCUUCGGAUCGUAAAACUCUGUUAUUAGGGAAGAACAAAUGUGUAAGUAACUAUGCACGUCUUGACGGUACCUAAUCAGAAAGCCACGGCUAACUACGUG